AACGAACGCUGGCGGCAUGCCUAACACAUGCAAGUCGAACGAGCCCUUCGGGGUUAGUGGCGCACGGGUGCGUAACGCGUGGGAAUCUGCCCUUGGCUUCGGAAUAACAGUUAGAAAUGACUGCUAAUACCGGAUGAUGUCUUCGGACCAAAGAUUUAUCGGCCAGGGAUGAGCCCGCGUAGGAUUAAGUAGUUGGUGGGGUAAAGGCCUACCAAGCCGACGAUCCUUAGCUGGUCUGAGAGGAUGAUCAGCCACACUGGGACUGAGACACGGCCCAGACUCCUACGGGAGGCAGCAGUGGGGAAUAUUGGACAAUGGGCGCAAGCCUGAUCCAGCAAUGCCGCGUGAGUGAUGAAGGCCUUAGGGUCGUAAAGCUCUUUUACCCGGGAUGAUAAUGACGGUACCGGGAGAAUAAGCUCCGGCUAACUCCGUGCCAGCCGCCGCCGUAA
rnacentral:rRNA from 1 species